AGCUUUUUUCGCCGCGGAACUCGACCGCCCCACGACGAGAUGAUCCGGUUCAUCGACGCCCGCCGUGAUCAGUUCGGGGUCGAGGCCAUCUGCCGUGUGCUCAGCGCGACGGAGUGUGGGUUCAUCACGUCCCG
rfam:Actinomyces denticolens strain PA genome assembly, contig: Ga0104373_128